GUGUGUCUGUGCCGUGGCUGCUGCCGCCGCCGCCGCCGCCUGUCGCUGAGGCUGGCAUCUCCGAGCCCCCGCGCGGGGGGCUGCCGCCCGAGCGCUGAUUGACAGGCCGCCUCGCCAAUGCCUGGAGGGAGAAAGGAGGGACUCCAAGAGAAUACCUGACUCUUAAUGUCUACCCAUUGUACAGAUGAGAAAAACUGAGGCUGUGCAAGACUGAAAGGAAUUGGCCAAAGUCGGAUUGUCAGGAUCGAGAUGGCCUAAGGGCUCUCACCUCCUGAACUGACCAGUAAAGUAUUUAGUGUAACUGGUGCCGCCAGGCCUGAGUUUCUGAAGAACCCACAAUCCCAGUAGUCAUUUGACAGAAGAUCUCAAUGGUUUGGAGGACAAACCCCAUGGGUACAGAUGUCUUCAAACAUGAGAACGCAUCCUGCAUUCCUCCCUUUUGGAAGAAAUACCCUCAGUGGGCUUUGGGGUAACAGUGCCAGGUAAGCAGAGUAACUCUGACUGUUCCUUAAAAGUGGGCAGAGAGAAGCAGCACUGGCCAUGCUCUCAGAGAGGUCCAGAGAGACUUCCUUCUACCCUGUCAUUGGGAACAAGAGCUGAAAACAAGAGAAACUAUAUACGGGCCAUCCUGAAGGAAGAUCACAUGACUCUGAUUUUCAGCUGCCCCUUCUCCAAGUUUCCGAAGAGGUCUCAGCAUCAUUCUCAAAAGUUUCUUCUACCAGCCAUUCUUCCUGAAAGAAAGGACCAAGGAGAAGUAAAGAAAUCACCAGUUUCCUCAGCCUGAGAGUGUAGUAGGUGACUAUAAAAGUCCCCUCAUCCCUGUGGCAGGGAAAGGAAAUGCAUUCUGCACCCACCUCCUGGCCUAACUGGGGGAGGCUGUAAGAUACUCUUGUAGAAACAGGAAUGUCUGCAGUCAGAAAACUGUACCUUGCCAUCUGGGCUGCCAUUGUCCCCCUAGAAGCUGCUGCUGGAGCUGAAUGAGGGGUUCUGAGGGAGAACUUCUGAGAACCUGAAAGUGAGGAUCAAACUGAAUCACAGAAAUUAAUGCUACUGCUCUUCAGGAAGUGUGGAGAACAGUAGAACAAACCUGGAAAGAACAAAGUGAAAUCCACCCGCAUUUCUUAGAGGAGUCUGGAGGCCAUGGAGAAAUAGAGAAAGACCCGAGUGCUAACCAAGGUUACCAGGAAAGAGGUUAAAGUUAGAGGAAGGGCCAGGGCAGGGAACCCUGGUAGGUAGCUGCGGCAUCUGGCCAAGCACUGCCUUAGAGAUGUGGCUAAAGGCAUGGAUUCCAGAUGGGGCUUCUCAUCAUGAUAGUCUUAGAGACAGAAGAGCUGGGGUGAAGCCAAACACCACCCCAAGAAAAUGACUUCCAUCAUCACCACCGGGUGCUACCACCUAAAACCAGCCUAAAUCAGAAUAAGGUGUAAGACCCUGUAGUGCUGUGCCACUCUCCCAUUAGAGAGUCAGCCUCAAGCAAGGGGCUGGAGAUGCUUCAGAGCCACACACUUCAGGUUCCUCAAGGUUCUCACCCAGUCUGCAUUUAAAAAAAGACAAGAACUGAAUUUUGAGAGCUCCUUUGAGCUAGGCUUGAAACUAGACUGGAUUCAUUAUUUUUGAGACAAGCUCUUGCUAUGCAGCCAGGUUGGUCUUGAAUUUAUCUUCCUGUCUCAGCCUCCAGCGUGUUGGGAUUGCAUAUACUGUAACACUCACCUUGAAUUGGACUUUUAAUAAUCUAAAUUGCUUGAGAUUUAUAAAAUCUGCACACCAUAUCAUUAAGGAACAAGGGAGAGAAUGUAAUAAGCUCAAUUGGAAAUAAUGAUGGAAAAAUAUGAAAUUUCAUAUUUAUACUACUAUGCCAGUCUUUAAUAAACUUUAGGCCCACUCAGGAGACACAUGCACGUAGUGCUGCUUAUGUUCCAGAAAUGAAUGGGCUUGGACCAGGUGCUCAUCAGCAAGGACAAAGAUCAGAAAGUUCCUCCCCAAUGGUCUCCAAAUAGGAUUCCCAGAUCUCUCCCCACCCCAAGCAGGAAAAAGAACUUGGAGAAUGAGAACUUCAAUUUAAUUAAAUCAAAUUGAGUUUAAUCCUGUAUUCUCUUAGUUAACUUUUCUAACACUAUUUCUCCAACCAUAAAUUGAACUAUUUUUGUGAAGUCAUUUUUGAUAAAAUAGUUUUAUGUUUAUAAAGCACUUAAAAUAGUUACUGUCAUAUUUUAUAAAUAGAAGAAAUAUAAAGCAAUAGAUGUUUCCUGCUUUUCCAAACUUCUGGGAAAAAAAAGCAAUGCUUUUAAUUUCUGAUUUUAAGGAGAUAUUGUCCUAACAACAUGUAAAAAGCUGAAAAAAAAAUGAAAAAUUGGCAACUCUUCUUAGAUUAUCAGAGAACUGAAGUUUUAAACUACUGCUCCCAACAUCAGAGGAUUUAAAGCAUCACAUGUCAGAGCAGAAACCCUCAAGAGAAAUCUUCAUAAGAACCAGUGCCCAGUGGUGAAGACUUGUCAUACAUUUGUGCAAAACAUAGAAUGUAAACAGCAAGAGUGAACCCUAAUGAAGGUAUGGAGUUUGGGUGAUGCGAGUCCGUGUGGGUUCAUUAAUUGCAACAAAUACACCAAUGUGGUCCAAAUCAGUACUUGGGAGGUAUUGUGUUUAAUGAAACACUGUUUUAUGUUCAGUUUGGCCAUGAACUUAAAACUGCUGCACUCUUUCUUUAGGUUUAACUCUUACAAAAAGAUUUUCUAUAAUAACAAGAACAGCAACAACAACAAAACCACACCUGGUUUGAAAAGGGUCCCGAUAGGUGUUACAUGUUGCCCUUCAAUGUUACAAAUUGUCCUUAACUGUAUGUAAUGUUUCACUUCAGAACCUUGAUGCAAGUCUGUGGGAAUGAAAUCUAUGCACCUCAAUAAUGAGCAAAGAAACUUGAACACACAAAGUGAGGGAAACAACAGGAGAGAAAAAAGGCAACAGAGCAAGCGCUUUCUGCCUUGGGAGGUAAUUAGGAAGCCCUUUCAGAGCUAGCCUUCGGGGACCCUGAGCUGAUGAAUUGCGCUUGCAGGCCAGUGCUGGCAAAUCCUUGCUUGAGACCUAGUCCCUGGCACCUUCCCUCCCAGCGUUUUCCCCUUCCCCAAGUGAAUCAGUGCUCCUGUCCCUGGCACCCUAUUAAAGUAUUUUGUUAAUAAUGAUGGCUACAGUGUUAUCUCUGAUGAAUAUUUGAAUUUUUUUACUUUUGGAUUGUUAAAGAUGCAAAUGUAUGUGUUUCUAAGAUAAGGGCGUUGGGAACUCCCUAUUACUGGGAACUUGGGGAUGAUGGAAUUUUCUGCCACUCCCACAACUGAACCAUGUGGGUGCCUCCCUGCCAUUGGUUUCAAGGUCAGACUUAGGAUAUGAACAUCCUAGAUAAAAUGGUGAGACCUGUGUGAAGCCUUUUUGCAUUUGUGGCUUUUGUUAGCAACAUGAUGUAGAGCCCUGCUUCUCAAAGUGGGGUCCUUGGAUCAACUGCUCAGAAUUACUCUAGGAACUUUUGCUUUGAAGAGAACCUCUGGAUCCUUCUGCAUACCUGAACUUUCACAGUUUCCUUGGGUAAUUCUGAGGGAUAUGAAGCAGAAGACUCAGAUAUUUUUUAUGCAUAUUAAAGUUGAAAAAUCAGAGCUGUAGAAAAGACCCACAACCCUGUCCAUACAUUGGAUUCAACUGUGGUACUUCUUUACAUUUUUGUGGUUUCCAUGUCACAUUCCUGGACAGAUUAUUAUUACUGGUCUAGGGUAGGUGCCAGGUAGCAGUGUAUUUUAAAUUCGUAUUUUAAACCUGAUACCAAAUCUGGUUUUUUAAGGCUUGCCUUAUGAAAUUCCCAGUCCUCAAUAAAUUCUAACCUCAUCUUUUCCCUCUAACAUGCUUUUAGCACACUGUUGGGUGUUACUUUCUCUAAGCACAGUAAAUGUACUUGACUUUCACUUCUCAGGUUGUGCUGAUGACAUGUGUUAGCAAAAGAAAAAUUGCUAUCUAUCUAUGCUAGGGUCAAAAACUGACAGAAUAGAGAGCUGAUGUCUGACAAUGAUUUUUGUUGUUGUUCUCAAGCUACUUAACCUCUUUGACCUUUACUUCCUUUUGUAAAAACGAGAAUUUACAAUACCUCUCCUGUACCUCAGAAUCAUUAAAAGGCAAAGAACUUACUGUCUGUCAAAGUGAUCUACAACCUGGAAAAUUCUUCCUUAAUAUAAUGUGAUACCUCUAAACUAUAAUAGCUCCUAUUUAUUGAGCACCUAUUACAGGGUCAGAAAAUGCAUGACUCAUGGACUAUGCCCUCAAUUCCACUAUCUCUAGCAGACAUUUGGUGGAUCUCAGACAAUGGAGCCCCAAAGACUGGCACUUUGAUAUUCCAAGAGGUCUUAGUAGUAGCUAGCUUAGAACCAAGAUUGUUCUAACUUUGUCUUGUUUCUCCCUAUCAUGCUCUUGGAAGGGGCUGUGUGUGGAAUCCUUCCCAGACCAGAACUGGCAAAGAGGACACCGUUACCUUUGACCCUCUUCCCAGAAUCUUGUUCUCUGUGACAGUAAAGAAGACUGAGCAAUAUAACCAUGGUUGGAAAAACUUUGUCAUUACAAGAGCCUGUCUGCCUUUCAGCUGUAUUAGCUCUGAGUUACUGAGUGGAAUACUUGUGGCAAUAAAUUGCACAGAGGAAAGAUUUAUUUUGGUUCACAGGUCUGGAGCUCCCAGCCAUGAUUAGGCAGUUUCCUUCUCUGGGCCCUCAUCAAAGAAAGUACAUUGUGAUCAGAGUGCAUGGUGGAGCAAACCACUGAUGUUAUGAACUAGGAAGCAGAGAGACAGCCCCUUUGGAGUCAUGCCCCCAAUGACCCACUGGCUGCAUCCCUUAAAUGUUCCAACACCUCCCAAUUGUGCCACUGAGGACCAAGACUUUAAUGCAUGGAUCACUGAAGAACGCUAUCCAUAUUCAAACCAUGGUGCCAAACUCCAAACAACCAUUCACAAGUUAAUAUCCGUCUCCUGUGUCAUCAUUAUUAUCUAAUAGCUCUCUAUCCUUCUUCCCUAUGUAGAGGAUUUGAGUGUUAGUACUUUGACCAUUUUCUGAGUCUUAUACUGUGUAUGACUUAUAUGUUUAUGUACUCUAAUAAAUUUACGUUUUUCCCUGUCAA